GACACGUGCACGCUCUGUUUGCAGAUCCACUCACACCUGUGCACCCUCUGUAGUUCUGCAGCCUNNNGGGCUCUGUCCCCCUGCCGUGGUUCUAUGUAUUUUACUCAGACACACAUGUUGUAGUAAAGUCUCAUGGAAUGUAUACCGCGCUUAACGCAAUACAAUACAACUUUCAGCAACGGAUCUCUUGGCUCUCGCAUCGAUGAAGAACGCAGCGAAAUGCGAUAAGUAAUGUGAAUUGCAGAAUUCAGUGAAUCAUCGAAUCUUUGAACGCACCUUGCGCCCUUUGGCUAUUCCGAAGGGCAUGCCUGUUUGAGUAUCAUGAACACCUCAACUCUCAUGGCUUGCCAUGAUGAGCUUGGACUUUGGGGGUCUUGCUGGCCUGGGGUCGGCUCCUCUCAAAUGAAUUAGCUUGCCAGUGUUUGGUGGCAUCACAGGUGUGAUAACUAUCUACGCUUGUGGUUUUCCACCAGGUAACCUUCCGCGAUGAAGGUUCGCUGGGGCUCAUAAAUGUCUCUUAUCGGCGAGGACAGCUCNNUGAACGUUUGAUCUCAA
rnacentral:rRNA from 1 species